ensembl:lncRNA
CCAAACUCAAAUCCUCUCCCAGAGAUCCCACCCCCGAAUAUCUCAGCAAACCAAAACGCGGGAAAUUAUUGAAAAACAGAACGCGUUUCUGAUUGGCUAGAAAGGGCGGGCAAUGUUUUUUUUCUUUCUUUCUUUCUUUUUUUUUAACUGUAUGCAGAGACAAUAGAGGCAUUUUAUGUGUUUUAUUAUAGAAAUGUGGUAUUUGAAUAAAUAAAAAUAGUCAAAGGAAUUUUAUGACUUUUAAAUGCCCUUUUUAAAAAAAAAAAAAUCAUAUUCAAGAACUCAUAACUGGAAUUUUUACCCUCCUUUGUCUUUCAGCUAUACAGUUACAGGUUACGUGAUUUGACUCUUUGUCACUACAUUUAUAUAUUCAUAACUGUCUCAUUUUUUUGUUUAAUGUAACGUAUACGUUCAGUCUUCACUAUCGCCACUCCAGCAAAGCAGGCGGCGCUGUGCCGUGAACCGCCGACGCCAAGCGAGAGACGAGGAAGAACAGGCAUUGCCUUUCAAAUAAUCACAGUAGCCCGCCCACUGUCCGAUGCUGUUUGCAUCGAAAAUAUUGUCGAAUGCAUGAAAAAGAUCAUCUCUGCUGUUGUGAAAGCGCUUUGCGAGUAAGAUUCUCCGCACCAAACCGAAGAGUGUGGCACCAAUACGCCUGAAGUUGUGAGCGAGAAGCUGCAGCGUGAUGGAGGUUGAGAAUAAAGAAGCAACCGAGAGCCCUGUGCCCAACGGCAGCACCCACCCACCCAAACGUGGACGAGGCAGACCACGAGGGUCUCUCAAUAAGAAGUUCCCUACCGAGAAAGCGCCGACACACAAUGCCAGGCCGUCUAAGAAGGUGGACUUCUUUUCUCCUGACAUAGUCAUAAAGAACAAGGUGAAGAAACGUGGUCGACCAAAGAAGUUAAAAAUGCCUGGCAGGCCAAGAAAGAUCCCGCUCACGCCUGAGGAAGAAUCUGAGAGACUUCAGAGGAUGAGUUUACAGCGCAAGCGGAGACUGUCAAAGCCGCUCGGAAGACCACGCAUUCAUCCCAUCACUGAAGGAUCCAAGGCUAAAAGCGCCAAACAAGCUGGUGUUGAUAUCAGCCUGGAUGCCUCCAACGGUACUCCACGAAAGAGAGGGAGGCCGGCGGGCUCGUUGAAGAGAAAGAGGGGUCGGCCCGCAGGUUCUACCAAGGUUGCCAAGAUCGCCAGGGCCUCAGAUGGAACCCCAAAAAGGAGAGGCCGCCCCCCAGGCUCUCCCAACAAGGUGAAGAAGAUUCAGCGGGCUGACGGUUCUCCUCGCAAGAGGGGCCGGCCCCCAGGCUCUGGCACCAAACUGAAGGUCAUUCAACGAAACCCAGAUGGAUCUCCUCGCAAGAGAGGCCGACCUCCAGGUUCUGGCAAAAAGGUCAAGAUUGUCGAAAAGAGAGUAGGAGACAGUCCCCGCAAGAGAGGCCGACCUCCAGGUACCGGAAAAGUCAAGGCGCAUGCUGGAGAAGGUGGAGAGACAGGAGGUGAGAACGCAGAUGGCGCUGCUCCACGUCGAAAGAGAGGACGUCCAAGCAAAGUCAGACUCGAAGUCAUGCUCGAAAAACUCCCCACGGCAGCAGCAGAAGAAGAUGAAGAGGAGACCGACGCAACCUCUCCCAAACAGUCUCGCACCUCUGAUAAUUCGUCGCAAAAUCCAAACAAUGAUGAGGAAGACACCAGGGCGAGCGAGAACGACGCAGACCCAGAAGAGGACGCCAUUGAUUGUUCAAAAAAAAGAAAUGAAAAGAUAAGGGGCUUCGUUGAAAAUUGGUGGGAAUAUUUUUUGAAGGGGUUUAAUAGGCUAUGUCAAUUUUUUUUUUUAUUUUUUUUUUAA